rnacentral:misc_RNA from 1 species
UCCUCUUCGAGCUCACCGCCUGCUCAUCCGUCCCUCCCCCUCCCCGCUUCUUCUCGGCCUGCUGCCCUGCGUGGUAGUGCUCUCCCAUCCACCUCACUGCCUUCGCUCGAAGUGCCGCAUUCUGGGGCGAGCACGCUUCUCAUCAGGCACGCGAAGCCUCCCCCGUUCCUAGACGUAAUGACGUCAGGCUCUACAUCCAUGCAGAUGCUGCUGGCGCACCAGUACAUGCACAGCCUCCCCACGACCCCCCAAGUAGAUAGGCCCGCAUCAGUAGCGCACGCACAGCCUACUUCACCGCUUCGGAGACGGCGGCGACGUCUGCCUUUCUCCGCUCCAAACACGUCGACCCUCCUCAGUGGCGAUGGAGUACCGUUUCUAUACUCGUCCGUGAACCACUUAACGCACCGCCUUCCCGAGACUCUCGGUGUGCACUACCCUGAGUCGCCGUACUACGUCGGACGCAACGAGUUUGACACGCAGCUGCUUCGAGAAGCAGUGGCCUCUAGGCGGGGUCAACCCAUGCAACGAGCGCAGACGGCCAGCCCCGGUGCUCGGGUGGUGCCGGCGGCGUCGCAGCAGCGGCAAUACGCGCAAGCAAUGCCGACGAGACCGAUCGAUGGCACCAUCACCUUAUCGGGCUUAUCGCUCCCGCGCCUCUGCAAGCAAUCACCGGGCAACACCGCCUCUGUGAUGCGGCACACGGCGUGCCAUCGCAGCUUCGCGGGUACCUGCACGUCCGAGCUGGAUCAGCCCAUUGUCUCGUUGCAGUCGACCACCGCACGCUCGCGUUCGAUUCGCCCUGCCACCUCUGAUGCUGCUGCUGUAACGUCAGAGACCAUACCUGAGCCAUGCAUGCGCUGCCGUGUGCGCUGGGAAGCAUCCAUCGUAAGAGACGAGCUCGCAGCAGACAGGCUGGCACAGUUCCGGCGCUUGGUUUCCACUGUCACUACAUGACUACUGGGGGUGCUGUACGGAACAACCUCUUGGGUGUGAGUGGCCGGUACGUCAUCUACACGACCCUUCGUCCUCCACUUCGCGUCACGGCCUUUGUGGAUGGCAUGACGCUGCUGCUCUCGAUGUUGUUCGUGUUUCUUGAUGGCACUAGCCAUCUUCUCUUGUCUCUUCUCCCUCCCCACCCCACCCCUGCACACGCCACGCCAUCCCUGACUACAGAGGACACACACACGCGCACACCUCCCAGUGCGUGGUAUCGCAGGGUCCAGCACCACCACCACCACCACUCUGAGGGAGAAAGCCGAGAAGCAGCCGCACUUCUAUCCGUGUCAAUGUCCAACCACUUCUGGUGGUGACAGGGUCAGGCACUCACAGCGUGGGGAGAGGGGGUAGGUAGGGGAGGUCAGAGCGAUGUAUCUUGACUGAUGCCGUCGUCCAGGUUGUGGACGUCGCUGCGUCGGUUUGACCUGCAACAGUGAGCACGUCUGUGCCAUUCAUGCAAUGGGCAGAGCUUCGGCGUGGCUCUGACGUGCCCCUCACACUGCCUGCUGGUGGAGGAGCUGCUGUGAGACGGGCCGGCGAGGGGCAGAUCGUGGGUAAGGGUUUGAAGCAUAGGUGGUACUCAGGUAACCGAGUGGGCGCACUGCUGCACUGGCGUUUCCAGCGCUGCUUCGCACCACACGAUGGGGCCUGUGGCAGGGCCGAGGGGUCGAGCGGAGGUUGAGCUCGUGUUGUGGGGCAGAGAAACGGAUGUGUGAAGUAACAGCUCGAAAAGCGAAGGCAGCCGCCCCUGUCGCUCAGUCCUCGCCCCCUCCUCUGCUUCCGUCAUUCCUAGCUUUUCUCUCUCGCGUCAAGUGGUAUGUGUGGCGCACACGUGGUAGAGAGCGUGCACUCACCCGUCACUCCCUUCGUUUUUAUGUUGUGGGCGCUCUGCGUGUGGCACGCUGAUCCCUCUCGCUGUAAUUUUCUGACGUACUCCGUGGCCCCGCCGCCCUCCUUAAUUCAGUGCGCGCCCCUCUCCCGUUGCAUUCGUUUGCGCCACGCGCAUGCCCCCCCUCAUACACACACACACACACAUCACCUUCCCAUGCCCACAGCGUGUGCGCAGGGGGAGGGGGCCUUUGUCGCCGGUUUGACGCGUGUGCGCCAGCGUAUGUGGUGCAAGAAAGGCGGGCGUGGUGGACUCAGCACACAUGCCUUG